rnacentral:rRNA from 1 species
CCUACGGGCGGCAGCAGUGGGGAAUAUUGGGCAAUGGGCGAAAGUCUGACCCAGCAAUGCCGCGUGAAGGAAGAAGGCUUUCGGGUUGUAAACUUCUUUUCUCAGGGACGAAGAAAGUGACGGUACCUGAGGAAUAAGCUACGGCUAACUACGUGCCAGCAGCCGCGGUAAUACGUAGGUGGCAAGCGUUAUCCGGAUUUACUGGGUGUAAAGGGCGGGUAGGCGGGACUGCAAGUCAGAUGUGAAAACCAUGGGCUCAACCUAUGGGCUGCAUUUGAAACUGUAGGUCUUGAGUACUGGAGAGGCAGACGGAAGUCCUAGUGUAGCGGUGAAAUGCGUAGAUAUUAGGAGGAACACCAGUGGCGAAGGCGGUCAGCUGGACAGCAACUGACGCUGAGGCGCGAAAGCGUGGGGAGCAAACAGGAUUAGAUACCCGAGUAGUC